AAAGAUUUCUGCAUCCAUCCCAAAUUAAACAAACAUAUCAAAACAACGCCAGACAAAAUUUCUCAAACCUUACCCUCAAGACAUGGCAAUUUAGCAAGAUACUAACGCUAUAAAUACAUUGCUAUAUCAAUUGAAUAAAAUUUUUAGAGCAAACAAUUGAUAAAAAUUGAAGUAAUUAAGAAGCAGAGAGCAUUUUUAGUACCUGGGUUGGAGAAGAACCAAAG
rnacentral:misc_RNA from 1 species